rnacentral:rRNA from 1 species
CCUACGGGUGGCAGCAGUAGGGAAUAUUGGUCAAUGGAUGGAAGUCUGAACCAGCCAUGCCGCGUGCAGGAAGAAGGCCUUCUGGGUCGUAAACUGCUUUUGCCGGGGGAUAAAGGGCCCAUGCGUGGGACAUUGAAGGUACCCGGUGAAUAAGCCACGGCUAACUACGUGCCAGCAGCCGCGGUAAUACGUAGGUGGCAAGCGUUGUCCGGAUUUAUUGGGUUUAAAGGGUGCGUAGGCGGCGUAUUAAGUCAGUGCUGAAAUAUCCCGGCUUAACCGGGAGGGUGGCAUUGAUACUGAUAUGCUUGAGUGUAGUCGAGGUAGGCGGAAUUGACGGUGUAGCGGUGAAAUGCUUAGAUAUCGUCAAGAACACCGAUAGUGUAGACAGCUUACUAGGCUACAACUGACGCUGAGGCACGAAAGUGUGGGGAUCAAACAGG